ensembl:ncRNA T10E10.11 ncRNA
GGGUUGAAGCGAGAAAAGAUGAUGAAGAUAAUGAGUCGCAGACAAGGUUUGAGGUGACGCCGGUUUUUUCAAGGGCAGCUAUCGGUGUGGGUGAUGGCAAGUGUAGACCUAAUGAAGGAGCGGCUGAGAUACUAAGG